rnacentral:rRNA from 1 species
GACGAACGCUGGCGGCGUGCUUAACACAUGCAAGUCGAGCGGUAAGGCCCUUUCGGGGGUACACGAGCGGCGAACGGGUGAGUAACGCGUGGGUGACCUGCCCUCAGCUCUGGGAUAAGCCUGGGAAACCGGGUCUAAUACCGGAUAUGACUCCAUGACGCAUGUUGUGGGGUGGAAAGCCUUGUGCGGCUGAGGAUGGGCCCGCGGCCUAUCAGCUUGUUGGUGGGGUGANGGCCUACCAAGGCGACGACGGGUAGCCGGCCUGAGAGGGCGACCGGCCACACUGGGAUUGAGACACGGGCCCAGACUCCUACGGGAGGCAGCAGGUGGGGAAUCUUGCGCAAUGGGCGAAAGCCUGACGCAGCGACGCCGCGUGAGGGAUGACGGCC